UCUGGAAAAAGCAGGGUCUGAGAUUGAGCAGAUCAAAAGAUAGACGUUCCUGCUGAUGGCCUCCUUGCAUGGCACCCGUGAGGCAUUCCUUAGGGAAAGCUACAAGGACCCAGAAUAUGAUCUAAAGGCAACCUUUUGGAAGCUGAGUGGAUGUGGGCCUGGUAGUUCCUGGAUGGAAAACCUUCUGGGAACCUCUUAAACUCCACCUUCCGUUACCUGAUAGAAGAAAGUGUUGGAUUUUCUGCAGCACAGCCUGUUGCACUGCCUGAAAUUGUGCUCCUGGAAGUGUGGGAGACCUUCAAGAGAUCUGUAGUGAGAAAAGGGAACUGGUAGGAAUCUAAAGAGAGCACAAGUGUUGCUGGCAAAGGCAGAAUGAGGCACAGGCUCUAACCACUUAUUCUCAUGUGGAAUCAUGCCACCAUUUUUACAGUAGUCAUUUAACCAUUUUGGUCUACCUUUCCCCAUAGCAAGACAGAAAAGUCACUGGCAGGAACUGGUCUCCAGUCAUUGGACACACACUGGCCUCCAGCACAGCAGAUAUCUGCAGGCUAUGCUGGAAAUCUACUCUGUUUCGAGCUUAGGGACCCAUCCUCACCAUGAGAUAGGAGUGUCAAGGCUACCAGAGUGAUCACUGAACUUGU